rnacentral:ncRNA from 1 species
UAGGUGGUCACCGAAAAACCUUAAAAAGAGUAGGUC